rnacentral:rRNA from 1 species
UACGUAGGUGGCAAGCGUUGUCCGGAUUUAUUGGGCGUAAAGAGCGUGUAGGCGGCCAGGUAGGUCAGCUGUGAAAACUCGAGGCUCAACCUCGAGCUGUCGGCUGAAACCAUCUGGCUAGAGUCCGGAAGAGGAGAAUGGAAUUCCCGGUGUAGCGGUGAAAUGCGUAGAUAUUGGGAGGAACACCAGUGGCGAAGGCGGCUCACUGGACUGGUACUGACGCUGAGGCGCGAAAGCGUGGGGAGCAAACGGG